GCAGCAGCAUCCAUUUAUCUGUCGGUAAUCUCUAUGUUCCGCGCUAAUAAUCAGCAUUUGAUUAACGACUUAAUACGAGCUGGCAGUGUCUUCAGAACUUCCUCGUGUAACUAUUAUAUGAUCAAAUUCCUCAAAGUUAGUGUCAAUAAAAUGCCCGUCGCUGUUCAGUUUCGACCUACGAAAUUUAAACCUGCCUCCAAGAUCCCUGGUGUUUGGUCGCCAGCGGUCACUCCUGAGGCUCCAAGGAAGGUGUACGAUAAUCAGAGGCUAGAGCCGAAAAACUCGGAAAAAGAUGAGAAAAAUGGGAACACGGAGCCCAUCCCCCCGGUAUGGACUCCGAAGAGCAGUGGGCGAGCCACCCCAUCUGAUCAAAUAACUUUCAAACCUGUCAAAUUUCAAUCUCCUGUUCCUGCAAGGAAGGCCUCCAAAGUGAAUAAGGAAUCAGGAGCAUUUCAAUCAAAGUUACCAAUCCCCACAAAUGGAACAGAGAAAAAUCAGAGGAGGUAGUCGGACCCUCUGUCAAAGAAAGAAUCUCGGCAUUUUCUUCAGUUUCAGGGAAGAGACUCGAAAUAAAGAACCAAAAUAACAAUGAAAAUUCAAAACUUCGAUCUUUAGAUCAUUCUGUGUUGGGUCAGUGUGGUCUGGCUUUGCCCAAAUCUCAAAAUCCUACCAUAACUCUGCUUCAAAAAGCUCGAGGUGCAUGUUUUACCCUUAUUCCUAUCAUAGUUUAAGUUUCUCUUACAAAGAUUUUGAUUUUAACUCCCCAGCACUAAAACUACCUGGUAGUGCCAUUCGUUUGCUCUUUUUUAUCCCCUCAUUUUGAUUUUUAUAUCAGGAGUAGAAUAAAGAGGUUUCAAAAUUCAGUCAAUAUUUUUUAGACUUCAAGUUCCGUAACUGCCAGUGGUUUUCUAGUCAUCAUGAUUAAUUUUAUCACUGGGUUUUUGUUGUUUUUUUGUUAUUUUUGGUGUUGCUGUAGAAUGUUUGAGAAUGUGUUUGGUUGAAAAACUUUUUGUGUAAAAGCUAUUAACGAUAAAAUCAAUCUCUCUCUAUCACUGAUAAAUUAUCAUCCCACAUGUUCGGAAGUGUGUAUUAAAAUCAUGUUUGGAUCAAAUACACAGACACUUAAGGGUUAGUUUCCGCUCUCCCAUACAACUCUAUUCUUUGCUUUCCUGACUUUCUUAUUCUUUUUUUCUGUUCAGAAUUCAUUUUGCUUUCCUUUAGCUGGCUAGUAUUUGAGUUGUGGUUGUUAAUCAUUGUCUUCCUUCCCGAGAUAAACAGGUUUGAAAGAUAUUCAAGGAAAUAUUUUUAUCCAUUUGAUUUCAUAAUUGGUGUAAUUAAAAAAGCAUGAUAAAAAAAUUUAAAGUUCCUAGUACAUCAAGAUAGAUUGGAUGUGCUUUGAAUUUUGCAGUCAGACAGGUUUUUUUUGCUUUUUGGAUCAGCUAUUUUACUUUAAAAUGCUAAAUUAAGGUAAGAGUUGAUAUUUUGAUCUCUCUUUAUGAGGUGCUUUAGUUCUCAAACUUGUUCUUCUCAAAGUACAAUCCUGAAUUCAUGACAAUUUCAAGCUUCAGCUUUACAAAAGCAUUAGUAAAACGGCAAUGAAAGACCUUAAAGAAGGAACUUCAACCUCACUUCCUUUUUAAUAUAUUUUUGUGAGUUUGAAUUGUUGUUUCGGUUUACUUUACUUCACUGGCUAUCUGUUCGAAUGUUUGUUUCAUUGUUGUGCAUUGGUUCAGAUUUUUGUUUUCGAUCUCCAUUAGUUUUUAUUGUGAUGAGUGUGUAUUAGUUUAAUGACCUUGUCCCAAUGAACCUCACACUUGGGUUGUAAUUUUUAUUGUUGGAGAGAUGAUGAAAGAUAUUUUCCCCCUUUUUUCCUUUAAUUACUAACAAAAUGAAAGAUAUUUUCCGUAACUUUCAAAUGAGUAAAAACUUUAACUGUGAAAAGUGUAAAGAAAUGUAUAUCUUGAAAAGUGUGAUGAAAAUGUUAAAUUCUUGUACCUGUAGCAUGAAGUUUGAUAUUUUCAAGCCCAUUCUUGUACAUAUUCCUUGGCAUGCAACCAUUUUCAUAAAAUUCCAUUAUCUGAAUUACUCAUUUUUGAUUUCUUUUCAGAGGGGCAGUUGUCCAAAGGUGCUGCAUAUUUAGAUGAUAAAAAAUGUAUACCAAAGAGACUCCUGAAAAGACCAAAACCUCUGAGCCUGAAAAUAGUAAGUCACCAAUCUUUUUCAUCUAGAAUAUUAUCCGUAAUCCUUUAUUUUUUUAUUUUUAUUGUAUUAAAAACAGAAAGAUAAAAAAAUCUGCAGUCAAUAGAAAUGGAAAACUCCACUGAUCUGAUCAAUCUAUGAUUUAGGGGUUCAUCACAUUAACACACUAUAUUACAGUAUACUACCUAAUUCCCCCUCCAUAAUUUUAACUUGUGAAUCAAUGAUUCUCAUUCAUCUAACAAUAAGUUAUUGAAGAUUAAGAGACAAGUACUUGAUCUGAUGACAAUUCAUACAUAACGAGCUCUGAUCCUCAUUGAAUAGGUGUCAUUUUAUCACAGCUGUUGUACUAUCAUUGAUAAGGCAUUGUAAAUAUUGAAUCCAGCAUUCGAAUUCUUCUCAAUGAUAAGAGGCUGAAGAGAAACGGUUAUGAAAUAGCAGAAGUUAAAAGUGGCCUAUUCAGCUCAUAUUUUUCUUCCUUUUUCCUUUCACUGCGCCAUA
rnacentral:lncRNA from 1 species